GAUGAACGCUAGCUACAGGCUUAACACAUGCAAGUCGAGGGGCAGCAUGAACAUAGCUUGCUAUGUUUGAUGGCGACCGGCGCACGGGUGCGUAACACGUAUCCAAUCUACCCAUGGCUCGGGGAUAACCUUUCGAAAGAAAGAUUAAUACCCGAUGGUCUCGGUUUAAGGCAUCUUAGACUGAGUAAUGAUUUAUCGGCGAUGGAUGAGGAUGCGUCUGAUUAGGUAGAUGGCGGGGUAACGGCCCACCAUGCCUACGAUCAGUAGGGGUUCUGAGAGGAAGGUCCCCCAAAUUGGAACUGGGACACGGUCCAAACUCCUACGGGAGGCAGCAGUGAGGAAUAUUGGUCAAUGGACGAGAGUCUGAACCAGCCAAGUAGCGUGAAGGAUGACUGCCCUAUGGGUUGUAAACUUCUUUUGUUUGGGAAUAAAGUUCGGGACGUGUCCCGUUUUGUAUGUACCAUUCGAAUAAGCAUCGGCUAAUUCCGUGCCAGCCGCCGCGGUAAGAC
rnacentral:rRNA from 1 species